UACGGAGGGUGCAAGCGUUAUCCGGAUUCACUGAGUUUAAAGGGUGCGUAGGCGGGCAGGUAAGUCAGUGGUGAAAUCUCCGGGCUUAACCCGGAAACUGCCGUUGAUACUAUCUGUCUUGAAUAUCGUGGAGGUAAGCGGAAUAUGUCAUGUAGCGGUGAAAUGCUUAGAUAUGACAUAGAACACCCAUUGCGAAGGCAGCUUACUACACGAUCAUUGACGCUGAGGCACGAAAGCGUGGGGAGCAAACAGG
rnacentral:rRNA from 1 species